AUUAGGAAAUAACAAAGAUGGGGGCAGAACAGAGCACUCUGGAAAAGAACGGCUAUACACUGCAAAGAGAAACCAAAAAUGCUGUUGUUGCCACAAAGGGAGAUGACACGUUUUUCAUAAAGAGGAUCAUUUUAAACAAGGUACCCAGAAAUGUUGUUCAAGCAUUAACCAGAGAGAGAGAAAUCCUCAAGACAACAAGUCAUCCUCAUAUUGUGAGCAUCAAGAACUCUUUUCAAGAUCAGAACAGUGACUAUGUGGUGAUGGACUA